rnacentral:rRNA from 1 species
GCUAGCUACAGGCUUAACACAUGCAAGUCGAGGGGCAUCAGGAAGAAAGCUUGCUUUCUUUGCUGGCGACCGGCGCACGGGUGAGUAACACGUAUCCAACCUGCCCUUUACUCGGGGAUAGCCUUUCGAAAGAAAGAUUAAUACCCGAUGGCAUAAUGAUUCCGCAUGGUUUCAUUAUUAAAGGAUUCCGGUAAAGGAUGGGGAUGCGUUCCAUUAGGUUGUUGGUGAGGUAACGGCUCACCAAGCCUUCGAUGGAUAGGGGUUCUGAGAGGAAGGUCCCCCACAUUGGAACUGAGACACGGUCCAAACUCCCACGGGAGGCAGCAGUGAGGAAUAUUGGUCAAUGGGCGCUAGCCUGAACCAGCCAAGUAGCGUGAAGGAUGAAGGCUCUAUGGGUCGUAAACUUCUUUUAUAUAAGAAUAAAGUGCAGUAUGUAUACUGUUUUGUAUGUAUUAUAUGAAUAAGGAUCGGCUAACUCCGUGCCAGCAGCCGCGGUAAUACGGAGGAUCCGAGCGUUAUCCGGAUUUAUUGGGUUUAAAGGGAGCGUAGGUGGACUGGUAAGUCAGUUGUGAAAGUUUGCGGCUCAACCGUAAAAUUGCAGUUGAUACUGUCAGUCUUGAGUACAGUAGAGGUGGGCGGAAUUCGUGGUGUAGCGGUGAAAUGCUUAGAUAUCACGAAGAACUCCGAUUGCGAAGGCAGCUCACUGGACUGCAACUGACACUGAUGCUCGAAAGUGUGGGUAUCAAACAGGAUUAGAUACCCUGGUAGUCCACACAGUAAACGAUGAAUACUCGCUGUUUGCGAUAUACAGUAAGCGGCCAAGCGAAAGCAUUAAGUAUUCCACCUGGGGAGUACGCCGGCAACGGUGAAACUCAAAGGAAUUGACGGGGGCCCGCACAAGCGGAGGAACAUGUGGUUUAAUUCGAUGAUACGCGAGGAACCUUACCCGGGCUUAAAUUGCAGUGGAAUGAUGUGGAAACAUGUCAGUGAGCAAUCACCGCUGUGAAGGUGCUGCAUGGUUGUCGUCAGCUCGUGCCGUGAGGUGUCGGCUUAAGUGCCAUAACGAGCGCAACCCUUAUCUUUAGUUACUAACAGGUUAUGCUGAGGACUCUAGAGAGACUGCCGUCGUAAGAUGUGAGGAAGGUGGGGAUGACGUCAAAUCAGCACGGCCCUUACGUCCGGGGCUACACACGUGUUACAAUGGGGGGUACAGAAGGCAGCUAGCGGGUGACCGUAUGCUAAUCCCAAAAGCCUCUCUCAGUUCGGAUCGAAGUCUGCAACCCGACUUCGUGAAGCUGGAUUCGCUAGUAAUCGCGCAUCAGCCACGGCGCGGUGAAUACGUUCCCGGGCCUUGUACACACCGCCCGUCAAGCCAUGGGAGCCGGGGGUACCUGAAGUACGUAACCGCAAGGAUCGUCCUAGGGUAAAACUGGAGACU